rnacentral:rRNA from 1 species
AACGAACGCCGGCGGCAGGCCUAACACAUGCAAGUCGAGCGAGCAUUUCGGUGCUAGCGGCGGACGGGUGAGUAACGCGUGGGAACGUGCCCUUUUCUGCGGAAUAGUCCUGGGAAACUGGGGGUAAUACCGCAUACGCCCUUUUGGGGAAAGAUUUAUCGGAGAAGGAUCGGCCCGCGUUGGAUUAGGUAGUUGGUGGGGUAAUGGCCCACCAAGCCGACGAUCCAUAGCUGGUUUGAGAGGAUGAUCAGCCACACUGGGACUGAGACACGGCCCAGACUCCUACGGGAGGCAGCAGUGGGGAAUCUUAGACAAUGGGGGCAACCCUGAUCUAGCCAUGCCGCGUGAGUGAUGAAGGCCUUAGGGUUGUAAAGCUCUUUCAGCUGGGAAGAUAAUGACGGUACCAGCAGAAGAAGCCCCGGCUAACUCCGUG